rnacentral:rRNA from 1 species
AGGACGAACGCUGGCGGCGUGCUUAACACAUGCAAGUCGAACGAGGCCCUACCUUCGGGUAGGUGACCUAGUGGCGAACGGGUGAGUAACACGUGGGCAACCUACCCUCAGCUCUGGGAUAACACCGGGAAACCGGUGCUAAUACCGGAUAUGACCUGGAACGACAUCGUUCUUGGUGGAAAGUUUUUCGGCUGAGGAUGGGCCCGCGGCCUAUCAGCUUGUUGGUGGGGUAAUGGCCCACCAAGGCGACGACGGGUA